UUCCUCUCUGGUUCCUUCCUCACAGGAACCCCCCUCCCCAGUGCACACACAGCUGCUGUGGGGCACUGCUUUUGCCUCCUCUUGUGUGGUAACCAUUUGGAACUGCUUUUAAUGGUGCUGUCGACAGUACUGAGGUUUCCAAAUGGUAAGAAUAAUUUCCAGAUAGUAACACAGUCAAGCAUAAGGAGACACACAAGAAUUGGCCUAGGUGUCUGCAAAGAGGGAGAGAGCACCAAAGGUUCUGAUGGGGGAAACACAAACUAAAUAUGAAUCAUAAAAGCUAUGCUUACCAGCCCAGGGCUAAGAACUUUGUGUGCAUCAUCUGAGUUAAUCCUUUCAGCAACCUAGAGAGGUGGGGGUUAUUAAGCCCUUUUUAUAGACGAGAAAAUGAAAGCACAAAAAGGCAGAGUAACCAGCCAAGUUCACAGAGCUGGGAUGUGGAGCUCCCUAAACUGGCCUCCCUGACUCCACUGCCCACUUCAUCUCCCAGUGUGAACCCUUGUUCCUCAGAGUGAGUGGGAGAGUUUGGGGUUGAUUGCUUGAGCGUGGUGUGGAAUGGCACAGUGAAUCUUAAGAGAAGCAAGCAAGCUGGGUUAGGUAAACUUAGCCCAGUGCCUGGCACUUGCUAGGCAUUCCAUAGAUAUUUGAGAUUUGGACUUUUGAACAGAGUUUCAGACAUAGGGUCAGAGUGUGUGGGGGUCUCAAGCAGGUCAGGAACCACAGUCAAGCCUCUACAUACACUUGAAUUUUCCCCAUGGCAGGAACCCACAUUGAAGGUUCACAGGUGUGUCCUAGCGCCGUCCUGGGGCUGUGGAGCAGCUGCCUCUCCAGUGCCCGGGGUUUGCCAUAAAUGCCGAAUCUCAGCCCCACCCUAAGGCACUGACUCAGAACCCACAUUUUAACAAGCCUCCCAGUGACCUGUGUGAGAGGCACUGCUCCAACUCAACAACCCUCCUGCAAGGGAGCAAGCCAGCAGUCAUCCUUCUACCCAGUACAGGGGAAAUUUCUUUUUCCUGUACUAGGCUUAGGGAAUAGCACUUUGGGGGGCUAACCCCUGGUGCUGCCCUAACCUCUUCCUCACAAAACCUUUCAUACAGCUGUGAGAGGCAAACUUCUCAGUUGUCAGCAUUUCCAGGAAGAAAGAACCCCUUGAGUGAUCUCCAUGUGACCUCGUCUGUCUCAGGUUCAUGAACAUGAAGGUGAGAGCAGCUCUUCCUCACAGCAUGACCAGGCAGUGACAAACACGCCACAUGGAAGGAAAUGAGUGAACAAUCCUCGCAUAUUCUGAACUCCGGGAUCCUGAAAUGCCCUGCAUGAAUCAUCAAGGGACAAAAAGAGGAGACUUUCCAGGGACUGACGCCCUCCCAGCCACCGUGGGAUCCCGGCUACUGUGACUGAGCCCAGUCAUGACUCCAGAGUGCUUCACAUCACAUCAUUCUUUCUCAGCAUCCAAAAUAUGAAGGAACUGAACCUCAGAGAGAAGAGAUAACCCUGGUCGGCCAGUAAACUGUAGAGAUCCAAUUUGAAUUCUCCCCUCUGUCUGGCUCCGACACAUGGGGUUUUCUUAACUCACACUGUGUCACCUGCAGAGUGUUUCCCUUCGGGGGAGAGAAACCCAAAAUAGUGAAAACGAACAGAAAAAGUUUGAAGAGUUCUGCUUCGGCACUUGAAGCCAAUCUCCCUACAGUCUUCUUCCUGUUCAUGCUUCCAAGAUGCUAUCAGGGAGGCUGGGCGCUGGGGACAUUUACACUCCUUGCCUCCCCAACCCCAACCUCGAGGAUUUCUGUAGGGGUGAAAUCACCUCAUUAAAGCUGUACCUUGUUGCGGGGGCGGGGGUGGAUGGGCAGAAGAACUCAUGAGGUGAUCAUAUACCGGCCUCAGUGAUUCUCUCCUCCUCCCGGCCCCAUGUCUUGUUUUUAAACUCCAGCAAGGAAGAAUCUUCUUUCCCUCCAGCCAGCCUUUCAACCCACUGCUCAAACAAAGCAUUUUCUCUCAGAGGAUGAUUGCCAAGACCCACAGUUUAGUUCAUGUGGGAGUGGAGAGGGGCCAUAAAUAAUAAUAGCCAAGUUUACUGAGUGCUUAUUAUGUAAUAGCCAAGCACUGUUCCAGAGACAUUACAUAUAGACCCAUUUCACACACACAGGUGCACACACACACACACACAUACACACAGUACAAAUGAGGAAACAGACCCAGAGAGGUUGCCCGCCAUUUGCCAGCUCUUAUGAAGGGACUUGGACAGCCUGGCUCCCAGAUGCUGCCCUGCCUCUCAAAGAUCAUCUCCCCUGGCUACCCCACCCCAUUUUACAGGUAAGGCAAUGAGCCCAGGGAGGUGAGGGACUUGCCUGGCCAGUCAAGGGCAGAGCUAGUCAAGUUGUCAGAUCUUCUGACCAAAAAACCCAAGGCUUUUUCCUCCACCCUGGGGGCUCAGCACACCCAAGACUCCAGGAGUAUGCCAAUUGCACUUCACCCAGUUCAAAGUUUAGAUCCCCCCUAAUGCUUUAAACUAGAAAAUUCUUUUUUUUUCUUUUGAGACAGGGUCUAGCCUUGUUGCCCACGUUGGAGUGCAGUGGUGUAA
rnacentral:lncRNA from 1 species